GAUGAACGCUGGCGGCGUGCCUAAUACAUGCAAGUCGAGCGAACAGACGAGGAGCUUGCUCCUCUGACGUUAGCGGCGGACGGGUGAGUAACACGUGGAUAACCUACCUAUAAGACUGGGAUAACUUCGGGAAACCGGAGCUAAUACCGGAUAAUAUAUUGAACCGCAUGGUUCAAUAGUGAAAGACGGUUUUGCUGUCACUUAUAGAUGGAUCCGCGCCGCAUUAGCUAGUUGGUAAGGUAACGGCUUACCAAGGCAACGAUGCGUAGCCGACCUGAGAGGGGGAUCGGCCACACUGGAACUGAGACACGGUCCAGGCUCCUACGGGAGGCAGCAGUAGGGAAUCUUCCGCAAUGGGCGAAAGCCUGUCGGAGCAACGCCGCGUGAGUGAUGAAGGUCUUCGGAUCGUAAAACUCUGUUAUUAGGGAAGAACAAAUGUGUAAGUAACUAUGCACGUCUUGACGGUACCUAAUCAGAAAGCCACGGCUAACUACGUG
rnacentral:rRNA from 1 species